UACAGAGGGGGCAAGCGUUGUUCGGAAUUACUGGGCGUAAAGGGCGCGUAGGCGGUCUGCUAAGUCGAACGUGAAAUCCCCGAGCUCAACUCGGGAACUGCGUCCGAUACUGACAGGCUUGAAUCCGGGAGAGGGAUGCGGAAUUCCAGGUGUAGCGGUGAAAUGCGUAGAUAUCUGGAGGAACACCGGUGGCGAAGGCGGCAUCCUGGACCGGCAUUGACGCUGAGGCGCGAAAGCUAGGGGAGCAAACGGGG
rnacentral:rRNA from 1 species